rnacentral:rRNA from 1 species
ACCAUGCAGUCGACGAUGAAGCCCUUCGGGGUGGAUUAGUGGCGAACGGGUGAGUAACACGUGGGCAAUCUGCCCUUCACUCUGGGACAAGCCCUGGAAACGGGGUCUAAUACCGGAUAAUACUUUCUCCCUCCUGGGAGAAGGUUGAAAGCUCCGGCGGUGAAGGAUGAGCCCGCGGCCUAUCAGCUAGUUGGUGGGGUAAUGGCCUACCAAGGCGACGACGGGUAGCCGGCCUGAGAGGGCGACCGGCCACACUGGGACUGAGACACGGCCCAGACCCCUACGGGAGGCAGCAGUGGGGAAUAUUGCACAAUGGGCGAAAGCCUGAUGCAGCGACGCCGCGUGAGGGAUGACGGCCUUCGGGUUGUAAACCUCUUUCAGCAGGGAAGAAGCGAAAGUGACGGUACCUGCAGAAGAAGCGCCGGCUAACUACGUGCCAGCAGCCGCGGUAAUACGUAGGGCGCAAGCGUUGUCCGGAAUUAUUGGGCGUAAAGAGCUCGUAGGCGGCUUGUCACGUCGGUUGUGAAAGCCCGGGGCUUAACCCCGGGUCUGCAGUCGAUACGGGCAGGCUAGAGUGUGGUAGGGGAGAUCGGAAUUCCUGGUGUAGCGGUGAAAUGCGCAGAUAUCAGGAGGAACACCGGUGGCGAAGGCGGAUCUCUGGGCCAUUACUGACGCUGAGGAGCGAAAGCGUGGGGAGCGAACAGGAUUAGAUACCCUGGUAGUCCACGCCGUAAACGUUGGGAACUAGGUGUUGGCGACAUUCCACGUCGUCGGUGCCGCANCUAACGCAUUAAGUUCCCCGCCUGGGGAGUACGGCCGCAAGGCUAAAACUCAAAGGAAUUGACGGGGGC